rnacentral:rRNA from 1 species
CCUACGGGUGGCAGCAGUGAGGAAUAUUGGUCAAUGGCCGGAAGGCUGAACCAGCCAAGCCGCGUGAAGGACGAAGGUGCCAAGCAUUGUAAACCUCUUUUGCCGGGGAGCAGAGGUCCGGACGUGUCCGGGCCGGGAGAGUACCCGGAGAAAAAGCAUCGGCUAACUCCGUGCCAGCAGCCGCGGUAAUACGGAGGAUGCGAGCGUUAUCCGGAUUUAUUGGGUUUAAAGGGUGCGUAGGCGGGCAUUUAAGCCGGCGGUCAAAUGUCGGGGCUCAACCCCGGCCUGCCGUCGGCACUGGGUGCCUUGAGUGGGCGAGAAGUAUGCGGAAUGCGUGGUGUAGCGGUGAAAUGCAUAGAUAUCACGCAGAACCCCGAUUGCGAAGGCAGCAUACCGGCGCCCUACUGACGCUGAGGCACGAAAGUGCGGGUAUCGAACAGGAUUAGAUACCCUAGUAGUC